CUUUCUGCAGCGCAGUGGAGCCCUACCAGUGACAAUCAAUUAUGCUGGAGUCGUCCUCCCCUAUUGCAGCAGGAACAUCUACUCUGUAAAUUAAAGCAGAAACUCUAUUAUUGAAGAGCCAAAGAGGGCUCCCAUCUCCCUCUGAAGACACGUGUUCAUCUCUGCACGCACACUGCAGAUGUGAGCCACUGAUGUAUCACCACCAUCGGCCCUGCUUCGUGACUGCCUGCAUCUCAACACCCCGAUCUCCUCUUUGCAGAGCUCAGAGGCUCAGCCAGGAUGGAGCUGAAGGAACCAGGACUUCAGGAUGCUCUGGCUCUGCUGGUGUUGGGAUCUAUGUUGGUGGAAUGAGCAGUAAAGGUCCAUAAGCAACAAACCUCUCCAUUAAGGGGCAGUGAUAGAUGUACAAAGGCUUGGAGACAGAAGGCAGGUGGAGGUGGUGCUGGUCGGAUGCUCCUGUGAAUGGGAUAACACCAAGCAGUGGGUGGAAGGAGCAACGUGAGCACAUCCCUUUGGAGACAGCAGGUUUCCAUACUCUGCAUGAACACCAAAGCCAUCAGUGUGUGAGUGCCAGAGGAGAAGGUAAAGCUCUUGCAGGCCGUGGACCACACGGAACCAGAAGUGAUGGCAGAGGAGAGCUGAGGAGCAGGAAAGCUGCAGUAACUCCUUCCCAUCCCAUGCAAUGUGCCACUGUGCAUUAGAACUGAUGAAACCCACAUCAAAACCUCAUCACGUCUACAUAUUUGGGGCUUAUUAUUGAUAUUUAAUGGUAAGAAUUGGACUCUGGGCCUGGGGGGUGAAGAGCAGGAAGCAAUGAGACAGGAAAAGCGGAGGUUGGGUAGAGAUGGAAGCAAAUCCAUGUAAAAGCAGGAGGGAGAUAUUCCAGGGAGCUGGCUAAAGGCAGGGAAUGUUUUCCUACCCAUGAGGUACCUGCAAGUGGACUCAGUAGUUGUGCCUGCCACAGAACAAUGACAAUCUGACCCAUUCUCCCCCCAAACCCCAUGGACAGCAUCAGCAGACCCACAGCAUGGGAUAAUGCAUCGGUUGUUCACAGCAGCGGCAUUCCAGGAAUGACGGGAGGGGAAUUCUUGGCCAUCCCACUGAGCAGCCAGCACAGCAGAGGUGGGUUUGGUUUCCCAAUGGGGCAGCCCUGGGUUUCUCAUGCAGAGGAAGCAGUUGCUAAACAGUAGCUGGGUUACCCAUCUGCAUAGGAAACAGAGCCUGGUGGCUUCUCCUCUCAGCUUUAAAGCAGGUUUGAGAAGCAAAGCGAAUAAA